rnacentral:lncRNA from 1 species
GAUGACAUCACAAGCACCGGACACCAGCCAGAGUGGGAGACAGAAGACAGAGGUCAUGCAGGCUGUGAUAGAAGAGUUGAAAAAGAAGUUUCAGUCAGAAAGAGAGCGCAGUGUUCGUCUUAUGAUGAGGGACAGAGAAGCGUUGAUAAAGUUUACUGAGGAAAACUGGGAGAAUGAAGCUGUUGUUCAGUGGCUGAAGGAAAAUUCAGACUCUCACACUGUCUCCAAACUCGUGAAUGUGUUUGAUCUCCUGAAAAAACACAUUGAUGAAGAAGAAAACAAGAAUCACAGCGAUGACAUCAACAUCACCCUGUUAGCUCAUGGAUCAAUCACCGUCCCCAUGAUCCCAGCCAGCUGCCUGCUGCCUCAGCCCAACAUCACAGACGUGCUCCUGUAUUCUCCCUGGAACUGUGCCAACGAUGUUGAUGUGUCGUAUGGCGUCGCUACAGGAAGAAUUCAACCUCAGCACCGAGUUUUUUACUGUAAGACAAAACACGGGGGUCAAAACCCUGAGGAAAAACAUCGACCCAUCAACCUACCAAACCGGUGGAACUCACUGAAGGAAGCUGGAGAUCAGGUGAUUCCCAGCAUCAUGCUCAGUCCUCUCACUUUGCCAGAAGACGGUGUGUGGAAAAGAUUUGAGUCUCUGACAAAAAAACAUGGUCCACCAGGAAGAAACCACAUCACCGUCCCAUUCAUCCUCCCAGGAGAGGGCAAAGACAGUGUCCCGUUCUCCUUGGUCACCUUGGCCCUGGCUCUGGUUCUAAUCUCCUCCAGGUUUAAAGCCACCGUCCAUCUGGGUUUCUGUCUGAGAGACAAAUCUGCUGGACUGAGGUUGAACACAGAGUAUCUGGAGCAUCAGUACGCCUACACCGUAAACAACACAAGGAUGACAGUUUCAGAUGACAUGUUCAAAAUGAACACAGGACCUUGGUUUUCUUCAGAAAGUGUCCUCUUGGUUGGUUUCUUUGGCACCUUGGCCCUGUCUCUGGUGCUUUGGUCCAGGUCCAACUAA